rnacentral:rRNA from 1 species
AUAUACAGCCACACCACUCUGGCAACGCCCAGUCUCGUCUGAUCUUGGAAGCUAAGCAGGGUCGGGCCUGGUUAGUACUUGGAUGGGAUACCUCCUUGGAAUAUCGGGUGCUGUAGGCU